CCAUGCAUAUAACAUAGCGUUAAUGCAACAGAUCCCAUUAGAACUCUACAGUUAAGCACACUCAGGCUAGAGUAGUAUUGGGAUGGGUGACCUCCCAGGAAUUCCUAGUGUUUUACAUGCC
rnacentral:rRNA from 1 species